UACAGAGGUCUCAAGCGUUGUUCGGAUUCACUGGGCUUAAAGGGCGCGUAGGCGGACCCGCCAGUCUGUGGUGAAAGCCCCCAGCUCAACUGGGGAAGUGCCAUGGAUACUGCAGGUCUUGAGGAGGGUAGGGGCGUCUGGAACGCUGGGUGGAGCGGUGAAAUGCGUUGAUAUCCAGCGGAACUCCGGUGGCGAAGGCGAGGCGCUGGACCCUUUCUGACGCUGAUGCGCGAAAGCCAGGGGAGCAAACGGG
rnacentral:rRNA from 1 species